rnacentral:rRNA from 1 species
CCUGCCAGUAGUCAUAUGCUUGUCUCAAAGAUUAAGCCAUGCAUGUCUAAGUACAAGCCUCACUAAGGUGAAACCGCGAAUGGCUCAUUAUAUCACACCUAAUCUACUGGAUAGUUAACAGUUACUUGGAUAACUGCGGUAAUUCUGGAGCUAAUACAUGCACAAAGCCCCGAACUUACGUGAGGGGCGCUUUUAUUAGAUCAAAACCAAUCGGCUUCGGCUGAACUCUUGGUGACUCUGAAUAACUUUGGGCUGAUCGCAUAGCCUAGCGCUGGCGACAUAUCCUCCGAAGGUGUGCCCUAUCAAA